UCUCUAAGUCAAAAUUGUCUUGUAACAAUAAUAUUGAGAACUAAGCUAUCACUGAAAAUCGACUUAUCACAAUAUACUAACACUCAAACAAUUCAUACUCAGCACUCUCGGAAAUACAAUUUAAACAUUAAGAUGGGUGAGAUGAGGGUAACACCGUAUGACGCCACCUACAGCUCGCCUACAAUUGUUCCUCUCUAUUCUGAAAUAUUAAUUAGUUCUAUUGACUGCGCGCGUUCUCAAAGUCGGACAACGUUGACAAUCACUAAACAGUAAUGCACGGAUCGCGACUCGAAAACUCGACGUACUCUGCAAACCCAUUUCCAGCUUCAGAUCUACUUCAGCGGCAACGUGGCUCGGCCUUUUCUCCGGCUCACGGACCAGCUUCACUUUCACUACUAAUGACCAUUGAAAAAUGUUCUUUGACCAAAUCGGCAGGACUACUGUUUGUGACAGCGAUGGACUCAGCAUAGUAUGGUGCUCAUUUUGUCAAUCAGUGAUGCGCACUUUUAAAGCCAAAUAAUAGAAAAGAAAGAAACCUAAAUGUUUUGUAAGCUUUAAAUUAAGUAG
rnacentral:sRNA from 1 species